UUAUGUGUACUCAGAAUUCAAGAAGAUUGUAGAAGCGGGUAAAGGCAGAGAGAGAGAGAGAGAGAGAGAGAGAGAGAGAGAGAGAGACUUUUCACUUCUCCAUCGAUGACGUCUGAUUGUGUUAAGCUUCCUCCUUAGGACGAAAACCCUGUUGAUUUUGUGCAUAAGCAUCGCAUGGAUCUUGAGAGUGAGCAUGUCUCUGUACAUUUACAUGAAUGGAUAGAUCUCAUAUUCGGGUGAGCCCUAAUUCAUUCAUAUUCUAAUAUCGGUGGGUUUUAUUUUGUUUUGAUGCUUUUGACUUUGUAAAAGGUUGAAAUAAAUCAAUUUUGAUAUAGAUAAACUGAUCCAGUAAGUCUUAUGUUAGUCGAUUAAUUAAAUUCUUUUUUAAUGUUUCUUUUCUUGAUUCUUUUCAUACACACAUAGCAGGCACCAUCGGUUUUGGUCCUUCCAUUUGGUGUAAAUCAGGUUGCUUGUGGACAUUCUCAAAAACUUAUUUGCACACAAGAUGGUAAAAUCCAUGGUUGGGGUUAUAACAGCUAUGGCUAAACAGUUAACCAGAAAUGCACUUAUGCUUGGUACCCAUAUCCAAUUGAUUGGUAUCUCUCUCUCUCUCCUUUGACUUGAAGGUUUGACUAAUGAAUAAUCGAAACAGGUGUUUGGGGGAAGUGAGGAAGUUGGCAGCUGGUGGGGGCCACUAUGCUGUAUUAAUAGAUGCGUGUUCAUUAAAAGAGUUGUGUGAGUUUCAAAUUGCAGCCUGUGUGACAACAUGGAAUGCUUCUAUGAUUGAAGAUGUUGCAUAUCGAACUGGGUCAGAUGCUUUGGUUCGUCUUUGUGAGAGGUCAAGGGAAGGUCAUUCUGAUGGUGGAACUUGCAAAUGUUAAAAUUGCUCCUAUAAUCUGACAUUCAUAUGUUGGUUACUUUGAACAAACCCCUCACAUAAAAAAGAUGCCACCUCCAGAUGUUCUUCAAAUGCAGGAUAAAGCAACUUCUGGAAAACAGGGACUUGGUAUUAGCAAGGGUUCGUUUUCAAGGGACAAAAACGUCUUUUAGUGUUAGUGAGAGGGAUAAAAAUAGCAGGGGUUACAUUUGCUAGUGAUUUGAUUAAUCAGAUGAAUGAGAUUGAGCAACAGAUAAUAUUUUCUUAUUAUAAUAAUGUUCUACUUAUAUAAAACUACCCACAAGAAUUUUUUUUUACUGUUUUCUUUUGAGCAUUUUAUUUAUUCACUUGCAUUCAGGUUCCAGCUACAAAAACACUCAUAACUCCUGUUCAAUGCAAAUCAUUGUGGAGCCAAUUUCAAAAAGAAACCGAAUAUAUAAUCACUCAAGCAAUUGCUU